GUGCACCAGGCGAGAAUAGUCUACAAUGGACGAAAGUCUGAUAGUGCGACGCCGUGUGUGCGAUUAAGUUCCUUCGGGGAUGUAAAGCACUUUUCUAUGAGAUAAAAGCUCUUUAGGUUAAUAGCUUAUUGAGACGGAUAUUAUUAUAGGAAUAAGCUCCGGCUAACUCCGUGCCAGCAGCCGCGGUAAUACGGAAGGAGCGAGCGUUGUCCGGAUUUACUAGGCGUAAAGGGCUAGUAGGCGACUAAUUAAGUUAUAUGUUAAAUCCCACGGCUCAACUGUGGUCCUGCAUGUAAUACUGAUUAGAUAGAGUACUGUAGAGGAAGGCAGAAUUCCUGGAGUAGCGGUGGAAUGCGCAGAUAUCAGGAAGAAUACCAAAAGCGAAGGCAGCCUUCUGGGCAGUUACUGACGCUGAAUAGCGAAGGUGUGGGUAGCGAACAGGAUUAGAUACCCCCGUAAUCCCUGAGACCC
rnacentral:rRNA from 1 species